AGAUACAAGUGUCAAAAGUAUAAAAAUUCGAUUAUGCUUUGCUUGCAAGAGAAUUUAUUAUCUUUUGACACGCAAAAAAUAUGAGUAAAUAGCUAUUUUUUUGCAAAAAAUGAGCGAAAUACGAUUAUUUUUGCAAGGACACGCAGAGGUGAAGCCGAAGCAAUCCUGUAUCA
rfam:Catonella morbi ATCC 51271 genomic scaffold Scfld2, whole genome shotgun sequence.